UUGGAAAUUUUUAUCAGCUGGGCUUUGGCCAGCCCUUCUAAUUGUACCAAGCAUCCCUCCAUCAGAAGUCAGGCAUCAUUGGUUGUGCGCGUCAAUUAAAGUCACAGCGUGAAGGCUUUGCUUUGUUGCCUGUCAAAUUGUUUUUUACUUUUCCUAUUUCUCUUCUUGUUUGCAAUUUUUGACUUCUUUUACAAUUUCUGUUAGAGUUAAGAUUUGUUGACAAUUUUUAACUGCAAAAUCAAACUAAUUAAUGUUGCCCAUUAAUAUGUGAAAUUAAUAUGUGAAUGUGAUCAGAGGAAUAUAAUUUGUAAGUGUGCUUUGCUGGACCCCUGCCCUGGACGACGAGCACUCCAAACUAUUCUCUGCGACAUGUCUUCAAGUUCGAACAACACAAUAAGAAAUCGAACUAUGACCAUCUGAAUGUAAGUUUUAUCCGAAGUGUGCGCGGCAAUAACCUUUUAACGAUAAACGGUAAAAACUAUACUCUGAACCGUCGAAUAAAAGACGUCUGCUAUUGGGAAUGUGUGAAAGUGCGUUGUAAAUACACCAAAUGUACAGCUCGUGUCAUAACAAAGUUUAAUCGAAUUGCUUCUUUAAGAGGUCAUCACAAUCAUAACUAAUCCAUUAGAUCGUAAGAAGCCAACUAAUCAUGUUCAUUUGUAUGAAUACACUAAAUUGUUUAAUGUAUGCCGCUAACCAUCACAGAAAGGUUGCCGCAAUGAUUGUUUAGUGCUUAGUGUAAUAGGUAUAUAGUAAAUUUUUCAAAAAUACAGACAGCUAUGUAUCUCCUUUUAUCGUCUAA